rnacentral:misc_RNA from 1 species
UCGUAACAAGGUUUCCGUAGGUGAACCUGCGGAAGGAUCAUUACCGAGUGAGGGCCCUCUGGGUCCAACCUCCCACCCGUGUUUAUUUUACCUUGUUGCUUCGGCGGGCCCGCCUUAACUGGCCGCCGGGGGGCUCACGCCCCCGGGCCCGCGCCCGCCGAAGACACCCUCGAACUCUGUCUGAAGAUUGUAGUCUGAGUGAAAAUAUAAAUUAUUUAAAACUUUCAACAACGGAUCUCUUGGUUCCGGCAUCGAUGAAGAACGCAGCGAAAUGCGAUACGUAAUGUGAAUUGCAAAUUCAGUGAAUCAUCGAGUCUUUGAACGCACAUUGCGCCCCCUGGUAUUCCGGGGGGCAUGCCUGUCCGAGCGUCAUUGCUGCCCUCAAGCACGGCUUGUGUGUUGGGCCCCGUCCUCCGAUCCCGGGGGACGGGCCCGAAAGGCAGCGGCGGCACCGCGUCCGGUCCUCGAGCGUAUGGGGCUUUGUCACCCGCUCUGUAGGCCCGGCCGGCGCUUGCCGAUCAACCCAAAUUUUUAUCCAGGUUGACCUCGGAUCAGGUAGGGAUACCCGCUGAACUUAAGCAUAUCAAUAA